AGCACCUUUGGGUGUGAAUUAGCGGCGAACGGGUGAGGAACACGUGAGAAAUCUGCCUUCAACUCUGGGAUAACUCCGUGAAAACGGGGCUAAUACCGGAUAUGAGAUCUACAGGCAUCUGUGGAUCUGGAAAGUUUUUCGGUUGAAGAUGAUCUCGCGGCCUAUCAGCUUGUUGGUGAGGUAAUGGCUCACCAAGGCGACGACGGGUAGCCGGCCUGAGAGGGCGACCGGCCACACUGGGACUGAGACACGGCCCAGACUCCUACGGGAGGCAGCAGUGGGGAAUAUUGGGCAAUGGAGGAAACUCUGACCCAGCGACGCCGCGUGCGGGAUGAAGGCCUUCGGGUUGUAAACCGCUUUCAGCAGGGAAGAAGCGAAAGUGACGGUACCUGCAGAAGAAGCACCGGCUAACUAUGUGCCAGCAGCCGCGGUAAUACAUAGGGUGCAAGCGUUGUCCGGAAUUAUUGGGCGUAAAGAGCUCGUAGGUGGUUCGUCACGUCGGAUGUGAAACUCUGGGGCUUAACCCCAGACCUGCAUUCGAUACGGGCGAGCUUGAGUAUGGUAGGGGAGUCUGGAAUUCCUGGUGUAGCGGUGGAAUGCGCAGAUAUCAGGAGGAACACCAAUGGCGAAGGCAGGACUCUGGGCCAUUACUGACACUGAGGAGCGAAAGCGUGGGGAGCGAACAGGAUUAGAUACCCUGGUAGUCCACGCCGUAAACGGUGGGCACUAGUUGUG
rnacentral:rRNA from 1 species